rnacentral:lncRNA from 1 species
AUUCAAUUCUAUGUGUGUCGGUCCUUUCACCUUAUGAACUUCAUCAAGUUUAAUUUUACAGGUAUUAGCUCCUUCAUUAAGGAACUCUUUUUUCAAAAAGACUGUCCGACUGCUGACAAAUACCUUUUGCUCUGUAGCAAGGUAUAAGUAGUACCCUUUAGUUUUCUUUGGAUAUCCUACGAACAAGCAUCUGUCGGAUUUUGAUCCAUGCUUAUCUGUCUUUAAACACUUGACAUAAGCUGGACACCCCCAAAUCC